UACGGGGGGGGCAAGCGUUGUUCGGAAUUACUGGGCGUAAAGGGCGCGUAGGCGGCCUGCUAAGUCGGACGUGAAAUCCCCCGGCUCAACCGGGGAACUGCGUCCGAUACUGGUGGGCUCGAAUCCGGGAGAGGGAUGUGGAAUUCCAGGUGUAGCGGUGAAAUGCGUAGAUAUCUGGAGGAACACCGGUGGCGAAGGCGGCAUCCUGGACCGGUAUUGACGCUGAGGAGCGAAAGCCAGGGGAGCAAACGGG
rnacentral:rRNA from 1 species